CCCCAACCUUUCCCUUAUAAAAAAUAAAACUUUCAAGAUUUUUUUUCUGUAAUAAUGCAUUUCCCAUACAAAAUUGACAAGAUAAUAAAUUAGUAUGCCUUUUAUUUCAAAUCUUUUGGGUUUGGAUUAUUACUUGAGUAAAAUCAAAUAAUUCCGUAUUUUUUUUUUCGGAACGGUUUUGACUUUUAUCGGAUGAAAGUGUACGUCAUGUUUGACGUCACUGCUGCAGCAGAAGUGCUGGAUAAUGGGUGUUGGAAAAAGUAAGUUAUCUCCUAACAUUUUUAUAAAGACAUUUAGGCUAAUUCAUAUUGUUUAAAUAUCCUUUCAUUACGGUUACAGGUUCGUAUGAACUUAUUUCUAUAAUACUCUCAUCACUUGUAAUGGUUAAAUUCAUGCAUUUCGCAAACCUACAUAAUGUUAGUGAUCUGUAAGUAAUUUUGGAUGAAUUUGUUUCUGAAUGGAUGUAAACAAUAUAAUUUACAUGAUAGGCUAAAGGCAUUACUUUGUUUUCUUUUUGUUUUGACUUUUGUUACGUACUGAUUUGAAAGUGAAAGUAGAAACCCUGUAUAGCAGUUGGCGUUGUUGUAUGUUGAGAUCGUUAUCAAGUCGAUUCUUUCAUCAACAUAAUGACAAAUGUUUGUUUUUAUGGCCUUAGAUGCAUUCAACAAUUUGAGUUCAGUGUCACAGUGCUGCUUUUUUAUCAAGUCCGAGAAGCCCAAAUCUGAUAAGACUGGCGAUUGAUCCUAACUGCCCAAAGCUGAUUCUGACAGACGAUUGCAUCAUCACAAUAUUAAAGGUUCAAUAUACAGUCAGCCUCUCAUAAGAAAAAAAUCCAAAGAUCCAAGGCUUGCUUCAAAGUUAAGAGACCAUUCUGUGCCACAAAGAAAUUGUUCAGGAAGGGGAGAACUGGUGGAUUUGCAUUUUUGGUACACUUCAAAGAGAUUUUCAAAAUGGUCAGAUCAGAGGGAGGACAACUGAAAAUAUUGAAAAGAUACAGAAGGAAAAAGAACCUGGAAAUCUAUGGAAUAAUUAUGAAAUGUGGAGGAUGUACACAAUCUUGUCUGAAUUUGACCUGUAAAGAUAUCUCAUUCUUAUUUGUAUGUUAGAAUAUCAAAUAACUUGAAAUGUACACUGUGAAAAAUAAGUUAUUUCUCUUGAUGAAAAUACUUUUAUCAAAAAAGUUGUGUAAGCAUUAUAAGAUAUUUUGAAAAUAUUUAACCAAUGAAGAUAGAUCAUUGUUGUAAUGUAAUGAAUUUUCAUCUAAAGCAGAAAUAUCUGAUUUUUAAAUGUGUACAAGAAUGUGAAAAAUAUUGAAAGAGAACACACUUAACUGUUUCAUAUGAUUUACAUAUGAUGCCCCUUUCAUAUGAUUCUCAUAUGUAAAUGGCUUGAAACACACUUAAGUGUUACAUAUGAUUUACAUAUGAUACCCUUUUCAUAUGAUUCUCAUAUGUAAAUGACUUGAAACACACUUAAAUCAUUCAUAUGCAAAUCAUAUGUAGUUAUUUUCAUAUGAUUCACAUAUGUGGAUCAUAUGUAAAUCAUAUGAUUUGCUUCAUAUGAUUCACAUAUGAUGCCCUUUUUCUAUGAUUCUCAUAUGAAACCAAUCAUAUGAGAAUCAUAUGAUACUCAUAUGAGAAUCAUAUGUGGCUAAGUUGCCUGUGUAUGUGUU